rnacentral:lncRNA from 1 species
UUUAUCUGACUAGGUGCGGCGCGACUAGGACGUUACUUUUAUUUGAUUUACUCAAGUUAGCAUACAAGUUGAAGUUCAAGUUCAAGUUCAAAGUUCAGGUGUGGGAUUUAUUUCAGUACAUGCCCGUGGUUAAUUUUUGUCCAUUUUAAUAUUAUGUGUUUACCAUAUGUGAGUUGCAUUAAAUUAUAUCGCUAGGGGCCCGCUCAAUGGGUCCAGGACAUUAAAGUCCUUGGUAUGCCACAAUGCGAUUUCAUGUUAAAGUUAUGGUUGCAACCAGUCGCCAGGGGCCGGCUCAAUCGGUCCAGGACGGAAAGGUCCUUGGUAUGCCACAGUGCAACUUUCAGUUACGAAUGUAUUGAUCAUAUGUGAUUCUCAUUUUAUUAACGUGGACAAUGAUUGCAUGUUUCCCACACUGAGUGUACCCUGUAUGCUCAUCCCAUAUUUAACAUUUUCAGGUUUUAAAGACCGGAGGCGCGUGGAAGGUCGAAUGACGAGUCAAAUAUUUUGAAUUUAGUUUUACGUAAAAAUGUUAUGUUGAGUAUAAUAUUUUAAAUAAAAUGUUUCUUUUCUUAUUUUUCACAUUAAAUAUUUAUUUAUAUUCAUAGUUUUUCCGCGUGCGUUUUCAUUUAAAAUUAAAUUGGAUUUGGGUGUCACAGGGUGGUAUCAGAGCAGGUCUACUUUCCUGUAGACUCUGCAAAAUAUUUUACAUAAAAUUUUUAAAAGUCAUGUGUGAGAAAGUCAUUCGACCACUGCGCGCUCCGACUUCAAGGUAAAGAUAUUUCAAAUAUUUUUUCAAGGGGAUGAGUAUAAAUUAUUUACGUUGAAAGUAUGUUGAGUUUUGCUGCAAUGAUUGAAGUAUUAUCAGAAAGUUCAAGUUUAUUAUGCAAGUUAUUAUGAGAAAGUUCAGUAUUCAAGUUAUUAUGUUGAAGAUUAUUGCAGCUAUGAAUGGUUAAAUUUCGAGGACGAAAUUUUUUUAAGUGGGUAGGUUUGUCACAGCCCAAAACCAUUUACUUCCUUUGCAAAUUUUAUUUGAAAAUUAGUUAUAUUUUCGAGUUAUUAAUAUAUAUAUAUAUAUAUAUAUAUAUCUAUGAGUCGAGUUUGUGAAUUAUCUAGUCGCGCCCCUAGUUAGAUCAUUAAUUUUAGAUUACAGAUUUUUUUUACUUAGCAAUAAAUAUUUACAUAAUUGGGCUGAAUGAAUAUUUGCAUAUAUUUUUAUAUUAUUGGGCCUGAAUAAAACUAGUUGUAGUCUAUUUAUAUUGGGCUUCACUUACUUGUAUUGCUUUUGGAUAUACAUGUCUUUUUUUUAUCACUCAAAUUUUCAGCCACAUUUUCUGAUUUUGGACGUGUUCCAUUCCUCAGCCACAAUUAUAUUUUUUCACUUCAUCUAUCAGAUUACUUUUGAAAUCUUGUACCGCAAGUUCCAUUACGAUUCAUCCUACUUAAAACACCGCCUCACUUUUUUAUCAAAGUAGCUUCUUUCAUUUUCUGGAAAUAUUUCGAAAACACAGCUGCUCAUUUCCAGUGUUGUUCCUCUCGCCUCCAGUGGUAAAUUUUAAAUUUAUGUACAGAGAUUAUGCAAUUCUAUUCCAGCACAUCAAUGAUUUCUUCAUUGUUUUCAUAUCUGCCCAAAAACCAAAACUUUACAACAGAAUUCUGUUUUCAAAUCAAAACAUGUAUACAUCCAUUUUUCUGUAAUUUCCAUAAGGAAAUCAAAUAGAACACAGAUAUUAUUAAUUACACAGAAACGGAAAAAUAGGAGAAUAAAGUGGAGAUGGAGUUUGUGGCAUAGAACAGGGGGAAAUCGGGUGUAUGAUUGCUGGAAAACAGGAGAGGCGAAGGGGGAGCUGGCUAGUAGGCGUCGCCGGGCGCUGCCGCGCCACGGCGGCCGGCGAAGAUGGGCAGGGAGGUGGCGACGGCGGCUGGGCUGUGCUGCUGUCAACGCGGAGACGGCGAUGGUGGCAGCUGCCGUCGACCAGAAGAGGGCGAGAAGUGAGAGAUAAGGGAAGAGGGAGAGAGAGGCUGAAGGAAAGAGAGAGGAGGCAGGGCCGCCGGCUCCGGCGACGGCGCUGCCGUCCGGUGGUGGCGGUAGGAGGAGGGCCGAGGGGAGAGUAGGAGGGAGGGAGAAUGAGGAGCUGCUGCUGUGCGUAAGUUUUGUGUGUGUUGGGGUGUGAGUGAGUGAGUGAGUGUUAUAUUAAGGGUUGAUAGUAGGCCUUGGGCUUGGGCUUAGGUUAGUUUAAUUUUAAAUGGGCUCAGGUUUAUUAAAUGAUUGGGCUAUAAUUUGAUUAGCUAUUGCACUAAUUUAUUUUAUCAAAAUGCUUGCAUUUGCAUAUUAUUUUUCAAAAGAUGUCAUUAAUACAAUAUUUGGGCUAGAUUAUUAAUUUGAACUUAGUUUUACUUAAAUAUUGAGCCCAAAUCUUUUUAUAAGAAAAACUCUUAUAUAAUCUAUUAGACCAAUGUUUUCUUUAAAUGAUUUUAUGAUAAUAAAUUCUUAAGAUUUAAACUACUUAAUUAUUAUUUUUAAAGUUCAAUUAGGCCCUUAUGUAUUAUUAUUUGAAUUUAUCUGACUAGGUGCGGCGCGACUAGAACGUUACUUUUAUUUGAUUUACUCAAGUUAGCAUACAAGUUGAAGUUCAAGUUCAAGUUCAAAAUUCAGGUGUGGGAUUUAUUUCAGUACAUGCACGUGGUUAAUUCUUGUCCAUUUUAAUAUCAUGUGUUUACCAUAUGUGAGUUGCAUUAAAUUAUAUCGCUAGGGGCCCGCUCAAUGGGUCCAGGACUUCACAGUCCUUGGUAUGCCACAAUGCGAUUUCAUGUUAAAGUUAUGGUUGCAACCAGUCGCCAGGGGCCGGCUAAAUCGGUCCAGGACGGAAAGGUCCUUGGUAUGCCACCGUGCGACUUUCAGUUACGAAUGUAUUGAUCAUAUGUGAUUCUCAUUUUAUUAACGUGGACAAUGAUUGCAUGUUCCCACACUGAGUGUACCCUGUAUGCUCAUCCCAUAUUCAACAUUUUCAGGUUUUAAAGGUCGGAGGCGCGUGGAAGGUCGAAUGGCGAGUCAAAUAUUUUGAAUUUAGUUUUACUUAAAAAUGUUAUUUUGAGUAAAGUAUGUUUAAAGAAAAAUGUAUUUCUUUAUUUUCACAUUAAAUAUUUAUUUAUAGUCAUGAUUUUUCCGCGUGCGUUUUCAUUUAAAUUUAAAAUGGAUUUGGGUGUCACAAGGUGGUAUAAGAGCAGGUCUACUUUCCUGUAGACUCUGCAAAAUAAAAAUUUCAUAAAAUUCUUAAAAGUCACGUGUGACGAAGCUAUUCGACCGCUACGCGCUCCGACUUCAAGGUAAAAGUAUUUGAAAAGUUUUCAAGGGGAUGAGUAUAAAUUAUUUACGUUGAAAGUAUGUUGAAAUUUGCUGCAAUAAUUGAAGUUAUUAUGAGAAAUUUCAAGUUCAGUAUUCAAGUUAUUAUGUUGAAGAUUAUUGCAGCUAUGAAUUGUUAAAUUUCGAGGACGAAAUUUUUUUUAAGUGGGUAGGUUUGUCACAACCCAAAACCGUUUACUUCCUUUGCAAUUUUUUAUUUAGAAAAUAUUAUAGUUUCGAGUUAUAUAUAAUAUAUAUAUAUAUAUAUCAUGAGUCGAGUUUUGUGAUGAAUCUAGUCGCGCCCCUAGUUAGAUAUUAAUUUUAGAUUACAGAUUUUUACUUAGCAAUAAAUAUUUACAUAAUUGGGCUGAAUGAAUAUUUGCAUAUAUUUUUUAUAUUAUUGGGCCUAAAUAAAAACUAGUUGUAGUCUAUUUUUUUUAUUGGGCUUCACUUACUUGUAUUGCUUUUGGAUAUACAUGUCUUCUUUUUUUAUCAACUCAAAUUUUCAGCCACAUUUUCUGAUUUUGGACGUGUUCCAUUCCUCAGCCACAAUUAUAUUUUUCACUUCAUCUAUCAAUUACUUUUGAAAUCUUGUACCGCAAGUUCCAUUACGAUUCAUCCUACUUAAAACACCGCCUCACUUUUUUUAUCAAAGUAGCUUCUUUCAUUUUCUGGAAAUAUUUCGAAAACACAGCUGCUCAUUUCCAGUUGUUCCUCUCGCCUCCAGUGGUAAAUUUUAAAUUUAUGUGCAGAGAUUAUGCAAUUCUAUUCCAGCACAUCAAUGAUUUCUUCAUUGUUUUCAUAUCUGCCCAAAAACCAAAACUUUACAAUAGAAUUCUGUUUUCAAAUCAAAACAUGUAUACAUCCAUUUUUCUGUAAUUUCCAUAAGGAAAUCAAAUAGAACAAAGAUAUUAUUAAUUACACAGAAACGGGAAAAAUAGGAGAAGAAAUGGAGAUGGGAGUUUGUGGGAGUUUGUGGCAAAGAAUAGGGGAGGGACGGUGGAAUAGCGCCGCCGGCGCUUCGCGCCACGGCGGCUGGCGGGAGGAGACAGGGAGGUGGUGCGGUGGCUUCGGCCGCUGUUGUGCAGUUCCGGUCGGACAAAGGGAGGAGGCGGAUGGGCGGUGCUGGAUCUGGAAAAGGGGGGCGGCGGCUGGGCUGUGCUGCUGUCGACGCGGAGGCGGCGAUGGCGGUGCUGCUGCUAGCCGGGCGAGCGACAGGGGAGAAGCGUGGUUGUGGCGGUGGCUGGCGGAGGUGUCGCCGGAGAAUGGUGGACGUUGCUGUUGGGUACGGUGGGGGAAGAGUGAGAGGGAGAUUAGAGGUGAGGAAAGGAGAGAGGUCGAAGGGAAGGAGAGAGAAGGCGGAGCCGCCGGCCUCCGGGGACGGCGCUGCCGUCCGGGGGCGGCGGCAGGAGGUCGCAAAGAGCGAGAGAGAGUGAGCGGCAAAGAGGGAGAAGGGAAAUGGGAGCUGCGUGAGUUUUGUGAGCAAUUAGGGUGUGUGAGUUUAAAUUAGGGGAGUUGGAAGAGUGGGCUUGGGCUCUUUUUGAUUUUAAUUUAUUGGGCUGGGCUCCCUUUAUUUAAAAUGAUUGGACUUCAUAUUUUAAAUUUCAUUAUUGCAUUGGACCUGAUUUUAUUAAAUCCCAACUCAAAUUUUAAAGAAACAUGCAUUUUAUUAUUUUGAUUCAUUAGACCAAUUAUUUUUCAAAUGAUUUUAGGAUAAUAAAUUUUAGAUCUUAAAUUUUAAAUAUUUUUCAAAGUAUAAUUAGGCCCUUAUAUUUUAUUAUUUGAAUUUAUCUGACUAGGUGCGGCGCGACUAGGACAUGGAUUUUACUUUGAAUUAUCAGAAUUAGCUUUCAAGUUGAAGUUCAAAAUUCAGGUGUGGGAUUUAUUUCAGUACAUGCUGUGGUUAAUCUUGUCCAUUUUAAUAUUAUGUGUUUACCAUAUGUGAGUUGCAUUAAAUUAUAUCGCUAGGGGCCCGCUCAAUGGGUCCAGGACAUUAAAGUCCUUGGUAUGCCACAAUGCGAUUUCAUGUUAAAGUUAUGGUUGCAACCAGUCGCCAGGGGCCGGCUCAAUCGGUCCAGGACAUUAAAGUCCUUGGUAUGCCACCGUGCGACUUUCAGUCACGAAUGUAUUGAUCAUAUGUGAUUCUCAUUUUAUUAACGUGGACAAUGAUUGCAUGUUCCCACACUGAGUGUACCCUGUAUACUCAUCCCAUAUUCAACAUUUUCAGGGUUUUAAUAUCGGAGGCGCGUGGAAGGUCGAAUGGCGAAUCAAAUGUUUUGAAUUUAGUUUUACUUAAAAAUGUCAUGUUAGUAAAGUAUAAGAUAUUUAUUUCUCUAUUUUCUUGUUAAAUAUUUAUUUAUAGUAAUGAUUUUCCGCGUGCGUUUCAUGUAAAUUUUAAAAUGGAUUUGGGUGUCACAAUCAUCCUACAUCCAUUAGUAUCAAACAUCAUCAUCCUACAUCAAUAGAAUCAAAAAUCAUCAUCC